GUGCUUCUGUAUUUGCUUUGUCUUGGUUCCUGAGCAAUGACUUAUUUACUGAAACAUUUCUUCACACCUCCCCCUCCCCCCUUUUUCUUUCCUUUCUUUCUUUUUUUCUUUCUUUUUUUUUUUUUUUCCUUUUCACAUACUGGAACUGAUUGUGUGAGUGAAAUUCUGGAUGCUGUGACCACAGGACUGUGUGCUAUCAGUUAUUCUUGGAGGGAAGUGGGUGACAAGCACACACAGCUCACAGCUAAACUACUGCAAUCAAGUGGAUCAGAAACAGAAUUGGAGCUAUUUUAUCUGGACCUAAUUAAACAACCUUCAUUACUGGCAGGGAUUUAUUAAUUGUGGAUUGACGAGGAAUAGAGAUUGGUGUAGACAGGUGUUCACCCACAGCAUCAUCCCCCUUAGUGGACUGAUGACAAGUGAAUGCCUGUAACAGGAGGUAAAAUUCAAUUGUAAAUGUUUCUUCUCCAGCCAGAUGACUCAUAAAGGUGUAAAACAUAUAUAUCUUUGUCAGACCAUCUGUCUGUCUGCUAGCAGCACAACAAUUGAUACUCUUGCUAUAUUAGCCACAAUCUAGACAGCAAGUAUUGAUUAGAAGACAUUGUUUUCUGUUGCUAAUUGUACUAAUUAGAUUGAAAAUUUCCAUUUUGUUUCAGAAGUUUUCUGAAAGUGUUCAGCUUUUUGAAAGA
rnacentral:lncRNA from 1 species